UUACUGCUAAGUGGUUUACAGAGCCAAAACCAUUCUCAGCGAAGUGCCCAAGGAGCUGGGAGGGAACAGAAUUAGAACAGCUGACUUUCACUGGUUAGAGGGAUAUCUCAUACCAUAUGACAUCCAGCAGAAGGAGUUUUGAAGGAGGUAGGAGUUCAUCUCUCUCUUCUGCUGCUCGGGAGGCUAGCUGGGAAUCAAUCGGUCAGCAUGAUAGCACUGUCUCUCUAUGCUUAGGGAGAGGCCUGUCCCGUACAUCCCUCACCCCCACAAGACGCCUACUACAACAGGGUGCGUGGAUGUAGAGCCAUUGCCCAGGCAAUGCCCACACUGCGUCAGCUGCUCUCACGAGAGCUGCCGGGUUGCUGUUAUCUCAGGGUUCCCUGGAUGAAAGAACCAACCGUAACCCACCUGUAUGUCGCGGUCAGUUGCUGCGGUUCUGGCCGGAACAGCUCCGAAGCAG
rnacentral:lncRNA from 1 species